rnacentral:rRNA from 1 species
GACGAACGCUGGCGGCGUGCUUAACACAUGCAAGUCGAACGGAAAGGCCCUGCUCUUGUGGGGUGCUCGAGUGGCGAACGGGUGAGUAACACGUGAGUAACCUGCCCUUGACUUUGGGAUAACUUCAGGAAACUGGGGCUAAUACCGGAUAGGAUCUCCUGCUGCAUGGUGGGGGUUGGAAAGUUUCGGCGGUUGGGGAUGGACUCGCGGCUUAUCAGCUUGUUUGUGGGGUAGUGGCUUACCAAGGCUUUGACGGGUAGCCGGCCUGAGAGGGUGGCCGGCCACAUUGGGACUGAGAUACGGACCAGAAUCCUACGGGAGGCAGCAGUGGGGAAUAUUGCACAAUGGGCGGAAGCGUGAUGCAGCAACGCCGCGAGCGGAAUAACGGCCUUCGGGUUGUAAACCGCUUUCGCAUGUGACGAAGCGUGAGUGACGGUAAUGGGUAAAGAAGCAACGGCUAACUACGUG